rnacentral:lncRNA from 1 species
GGUGAUAAGUGUGGGUGGUUGUUAGAGAACAACUGGCAUUGAGCAUGAUCAUAUGAGAGAUCACUUGGAUUUCUAUUCAAUUAUCAGUGAUUGUCUCGAUGUUGUAGUUGUGUGAUUGAUCUUUUAACUUGAGAUGGUACUACUACUCACAGUGAGAUUGCUGGAGUUUAAUUGACACAUAAAUAUGGAUCUCAAUAAGCCAUUGUAGUGCAUGU